rnacentral:lncRNA from 1 species
GGGUGACAUAAUCUUAUCAGAUUAGGGUUACAUCGAAAGUCUAGGUCCACUGCUGGUUAGAUUUGAAACCCAAUAGGUCACACACUUAAGAAUUUAGUUUUGGUUUGAUUUAAUUAGAGUUUAAUAUAAAUUCUUUAAGUUAAUUUGAUAUGCUAGCACAUUGUAUUAAUCUAAGUUCCCAAAUUGGUUUGGUUCAAAGUAUUUGAGCUAACCUAGACCAGUUGGCUUUGACCAAAUAGGAUUGGGUCAAUUUGGAUUGGAUCCUUAUCUAACUUAGAUCAAUUUUAAGUGAAGGACUCCUCCACAUUCAGCAAAAGCCACACAAAAAUAUAAUUGCCGCCCACCUCAAAUCAACGGGAGAAAUAAAGAGUCCUUCUUAAAGAAGGCUCUUUACUAAACGCGUUGCCUUAGAAGAUAAAUCAGAAAUCCUAUGUUUUAACAUCAAAAAUUAUUGAAACUUUUAUGGCAUGUAGAGAAGGAAGAGUCCUUCUGCUCUAAAUAUCUAAAUUAUCAAAAAUUUACUCGAUGAAUUUAUUUGGUGCAUGGGAAUUUGGAGCACCAAAAGUUGGUACCCCUUCAUCCCAUGUAACAUCCCUUAGUCCCCUAUUUAUAGGGGAUGCUCCAGAUGGCUUCUGACUGAGAUUUUUGGGUGAACCAAAGAGAAGGGAUGUGAAAAUUAUAAAAAAAAUCUAAAAAAAAUUUGAGAAAAAAAAGAAGAGAAUUUGGGUGGCAAAAGUUGCUACAAGGGUGGUGAGAUUUUCAGCAAGUAUUGCUGGAGUGUCCUAGGAUUUGAUUUUUCUAUAUGUUGGAGCCAAAAAUUAAAUCCUAAACUAUAUGACAAUUGAAGAGUGUCUUCUUGAUAUUGUUUUGAUGGUAAGAUCAAAAGUAAGCUAGAAGCUGAAGUAAGCUAGAAGCUGAAGCUGAAGUAUUCUUGAGAAGACAAGGCUGUGGCUG